CGCGCUGUUCUAUUUUGUUGGUUUCUAGGACAGCCGUAAUGAUUAAUAGGGACAGUCGGGGGCAUCAGUAUUCAAUUGUCAGAGGUGAAAUUCUUGGAUUUAUCGAAGACUAACUACUGCGAAAGCAUUUGCCAAGGAUGUUUUCAUUAAUCAGGAACGAAAGUUAGGGGAUCGAAGACGAUCAGAUACUGUSGUAGUCUUAACCGUAAACGAUGCCGACUAGGGAUCGGACGGUGUUAUUAUUUGACCCGUUCGGCACCUUACGAGAAAUCAAAGUGCUUGGGCUCCAGGGGGAGUAUGGUCGUAAGGCUGAAACUUAAACAAAUUGACGGAAGGGCACCACCAGGGGUGGAGCCUGCGGCUUAAUUUGACUCAACACGGGGAAACUCACCAGGUCCAGACACAGUGAGGAUUGACAGAUUGAGAGCUCUUUCUUGAUUCUGUGGGUGGUGGUGCAUGGCCGUUCUUAGUUCGUGGGGUGACAUGGCUGUUUAAUUACGAUAACGAACGAGACUUUAACCUGCUAACUAGCCCGUAUUGCUUUGGCAGUACGCUGGCUUCUUAGAGGGACUCUCGGCGCGAGUCGAGGGAAGUUUGAGGCAAUAACAGGUCUGUGAUGCCCUNAGAUGUUCUGGGCCGCACGCGCGCUACACUGACGGAGCCAGCGAGUCCUUCCUUGACCGAAAGGUCUGGGUAAUCUUGUUAAACUCCGUCGUGC
rnacentral:rRNA from 1 species